rnacentral:rRNA from 1 species
UAACAGGAUUCCCCUAGUAACUGCGAGUGAAGCGGGAAGAGCUCAAAUUUAAAAUCUGGCGGUCUUCUGAUCGUCCGAGUUGUAGUCUAGAGAAGUGUUAUCCGCGUCGGACCGUGUACAAGUCUCCUGGAAUGGAGCGUCAUAGAGGGUGAGAAUCCCGUCCAUGACACGGACGCCCGAUGCUUUGCGAGGCACUCUCGAAGAGUCGAGUUGUUUGGGAAUGCAGCUCAAAAUGGGUGGUAAAUUCCAUCUAAAGCUAAAUAUUGGCGAGAGACCGAUAGCGAACAAGUACCGUGAGGGAAAGAUGAAAAGCACUUUGGAAAGAGAGUUAAACAGUACGUGAAAUUGUUGAAAGGGAAACGCUUGAAGUCAGUCGCGUCUUGUGGAACUCAGCCUGGCCUCGGCCUGGUGUACUUUCCAUUUGACGGGUCAACAUCAGUUUCGGCCGGUGGAAAAAGGUGAAGGGAAUGUAGCGCCGCUUCGGUGGCGUGUUAUAGCCCUUUGCUGUAUACACUGGCUGGGACUGAGGACUGCAGCACGCCCUUGUGGCCGGGGGUUCGCCCCACGUAACGUGCUUAGGAUGUUGGCAUAAUGGCUUUAAGCGACCCGUCUUGAAACACGGACCAAGGAGUCUAACAUGCUUGCGAGUGUUCGGGUGGAAAACUCUUGCGCGUAAUGAAAGUGAAAGUUGGGAGCCUCCGCAAGGGGGUGCACCGACGCCCGGCCCUGACGUUCUCUGACGGUGCUGCGGUAGAGCAAGUAUGUUGGGACCCGAAAGAUGGUGAACUAUGCCUGAAUAGGGCGAAGCCAGAGGAAACUCUGGUGGAGCUCGUAGCGAUUCUGACGUGCAAAUCGAUCGUCAAAUUUGGG